UACGGAGGGGACUAGCGUUGUUCGGAAUUACUGGGCGUAAAGCGCACGUAGGCGGAUUUGUAAGUCAGGGGUGAAAUCCUGGGGCUCAACUCCAGAACUGCCUUCGAUACUGGGAGUCUCGAGUCCGGGAGAGGUGAGUGGAACUGCGAGUGUAGAGGUGAAAUUCGUAGAUAUUCGCAAGAACACCAGUGGCGAAGGCGGCUCACUGGCCCGGUACUGACGCUGAGGUGCGAAAGCGUGGGGAGCAAACAGG
rnacentral:rRNA from 1 species